GACGAACGCUGGCGGCGUGCUUAACACAUGCAAGUCGAACGGAAAGGCCCUGCUUUUGUGGGGUGCUCGAGUGGCGAACGGGUGAGUAACACGUGAGUAACCUGCCCUUGACUUUGGGAUAACUUCAGGAAACUGGGGCUAAUACCGGAUAGGAGCUCCUGCUGCAUGGUGGGGGUUGGAAAGUUUCGGCGGUUGGGGAUGGACUCGCGGCUUAUCAGCUUGUUGGUGGGGUAGUGGCUUACCAAGGCUUUGACGGGUAGCCGGCCUGAGAGGGUGACCGGCCACAUUGGGACUGAGAUACGGCCCAGACUCCUACGGGAGGCAGCAGUGGGGAAUAUUGCACAAUGGGCGGAAGCCUGAUGCAGCAACGCCGCGUGCGGGAUGAAGGACUUCGGGUUGUAAACCGCUUUCGCCUGUGACGAAGCGUGAGUGACGGUAAUGGGUAAAGAAGCACCGGCUAACUACGUG
rnacentral:rRNA from 1 species